rnacentral:lncRNA from 1 species
CAUUGGGUCACUAAAACAUGAUGUGGACAUGAAUUUACAGCGGCUGGAAGGCCUGUUAUGGAUUGGACAACACGUGUUAAGAUUGCUGUUGGUGCAGCUCGUGGAAUAGCUUAUCUGCAUGAAGAUUGUAACUUUCUUUCUCUUCCUGUAUUCUUAUAGUUAUGGUUGAUUAGCUUCUCUUUGUUUAUUCUAUUGGUCUGAUCUGUAAUGCACAACCCCUUUGUUCUUGUUGCCUUUAGUCUUAUAGUUAUGGUUGAUUAUAUUCUCUUUGUUUAUUCUGUUGGUCUGAUCUGUAAUACACAACCCCUUUGUUCUUGUUGCCUGUAAUAUUUACGCGAUGCACUUAUUCUAUUUAUCAUUCUUUAACCUUUUUCUUUUCU